rnacentral:rRNA from 1 species
AAAUUGAAGAGUUUGAUCAUGGCUCAGAUUGAACGCUGGCGGCAGGCCUAACACAUGCAAGUCGAACGGUAACAGGAAUCAGCUUGCUGAUUCGCUGACGAGUGGCGGACGGGUGAGUAAUGUCUGGGAAACUGCCUGAUGGAGGGGGAUAACUACUGGAAACGGUAGCUAAUACCGCAUAAUGUCGCAAGACCAAAGAGGGGGACCUUCGGGCCUCUUGCCAUCGGAUGUGCCCAGAUGGGAUUAGCUUGUUGGUGGGGUAACGGCUCACC